rnacentral:rRNA from 1 species
AUUGAACGCUGGCGGCGUGCCUAACACAUGCAAGUCGAGCGGUAACAGGUGUAGCAAUACAUGCUGACGAGCGGCGGACGGGUGAGUAACGCUUGGGAAUCUGCCUAUUAGUGGGGGACAACCCGGGGAAACUCGGGCUAAUACCGCAUACGCACUACGGUGGAAAGCCGGGGACCGCAAGGCCUGGCGCUAACAGAUGAGCCCAAGUCGGAUUAGCUAGUUGGUAGGGUAACGGCCACCAAGGCGACGAUCCGUAACUGGUCUGAGAGGACGACCAGUCACACCGGAACUGAGACACGGUCCGGACUCCUACGGGAGGCAGCAGUGGGGAAUAUUGGACAAUGGGCGAAAGCCUGAUCCAGCGACGCCGCGUGGGUGAAGAAGGCCUGCGGGUUGUAAAGCCCUUUCAGUGGGGAAGAAAAGCCUCGAGCUAAUAUCUCGGGGUCUUGACGUAACCCAUAGAAGAAGCACCGGCUAACUCUGUGCCAGCAGCCGCGGU